AUACGGAGGGUGCAAGCGUUAAUCGGAAUUACUGGGCGUAAAGCGUACGUAGGCGGUUCGUUAAGUUAGAUGUGAAAGCCUCGGGCUUAACCUGGGAACUGCAUUUAAAACUGGCGAACUAGAGUUGAGUAGAGGGGAGUGGAAUUUCAGGUGUAGCGGUGAAAUGCGUAGAGAUCUGAAGGAACACCAGUGGCGAAGGCGACUCCCUGGACUCAAACUGACGCUGAGGUACGAAAGCGUGGGUAGCAAACGGCAUUAGAAACCAUAGUAGUCC
rnacentral:rRNA from 1 species